GAGAGAUGUAGAGCACGCUGGGGUCCUCAUAGAAGGUUUGCUGAGUUCCAUUGCCAUGAUGAACAUCCUGUUUUUGCACACCUGGAGGAAGAUAAGGGAGAAACACCUGGUGGGCUAAGAAUGUUAGACUGUCAGGAAACCAGUGCUUUAUCACCAGUGAUUGAUCAAUCCUGGGUAAGUUACUAUAUCCUUCUUGGGCAUCAAUUUGGUUGUCUAUAUUUAUCUCCUUUCCUUUCCUUUUUUUUUUUUAAAUUUUCCAGUGCUAGAGUGAAGCUAUAAUGAGAUCCCAGGAAAGAGAGUUUAAGCUCUAAGGAGAGAGAUAUGAAAGACACAUGAAAUAGGCUUUAGAGGAAUAACUGUCUUCUUAAUGCUGGUGAAAAUUCACUGCUACUACUGUUAUAUACUGCUAUAACAGUGGUUGUUAUACCACCAUAAUAAGUAGGACUUGGGGUGGUGGUGGUACUCUCAUGAGGAGUGGGGGAGAGUAAGUGAAUCACAAAAAAACCUAGAGAAGUAGAUACAUUCAGAUACAUACAUAUGAGCCCAGAAAAACAACCUCACACUGGGCUAAGGUUAUGUUAGUUACAAAUGCUUUGCAAAUGAGCUAAAAGCUCCUUCCUAAAAGAGAAACAAGAACUUAAUAGACAACACCAAUUAGGGAAUGGGAGUGGGGUCAGUUUUGACAUAGGAGGAGAUGAAAGCCUAUUUCUAUCUCUGGGAAGGAGACAGGCUCCAGGAAGGAUGGUGAUCCUAGUCAAGCCUGCAUGACCACUGGAGAAACUAGACCCAGAUGCCUAGUGGAUGGAAGUAGGGGGGAAAUAACUUAAGUUUCACCCAAGGGUAGAGAUCUUUCAGGUGGGGUGGAAGCAAAAGAUAGGAAGAUUCUCAUAAACCCUGGCGGCCAGUCUAUGGUUACACCAGUUAACCUUGGAUCCAUGAUUUUUUAAAAAGUUGAUAAUUGUAUUUCAAUAUAAUUGGUUUUCUUUGCACUCUUUGGUAUUUUAUUUUAUUAAUUUAAAAAUAUUGUUCUGAGAAGGGGUCCAUGACACAAAAAAGCAUAAGAACUCUUUGGUUUAGACUACAGAUAUCACAUGAUAAGGAUUCUAUGUUUUGUAAAUCAUUUCUAAACUUAAAAAAUAGUUUUUUGUUUUCCCUGUAAAUUUAUAAAGAAGGUUUCUGCUAAUAAAAUUCUACCUUUUUUCAGCUAAGUAAAGGGGCUGGAUGGAAUAAAGAGAUUGGUGUACUCUUAAAGACCAGCUGUAGGGAUGCAGUAACAGUGGCCAAGGGAAGAAUGAACACGGAAAAAGAUGAACCCUGUACCUUCAUGUCCUAACCUGCCUAACACAGGAUGGAUCUGAAAGUGGGAAGGAUCGGGGAAGUGAUGGAUGGGGCACAGGCCAAGACUCCUGCUGUCUAGCAGAGAACAUCAUCAAUGAAGUCCUCUGGUCCUUGGUAUUUAUUCCAGCCAUCUCCAGCACAGCAUCUC